AUCACUUCUCGGCCUUUUGGCUAAGAUCAAGUGUAGUAUCCUUUCUUUCUUCCUUCCUUCCUUCCUUCCUUUCUUUCAGACAGGGUUUCUCUUUUUAUCCCUGGUUGUCCUGAAACUUAUUCUGUAGACCAGGCUGACCUUGAACUCAGAGAUCCACC
rnacentral:snRNA from 1 species